AGUAAAAUCUAAAAAGUGGUCGGAAAAGAUUCCCUCCAUUAAGGAAGAAGAAGAAGGGAUUCAUCCUCGUUAUCUGAUCCUUGACAACUCAAGUGAAUUGUGAAAUGCCGAUGAUUUGGCGGCAGAUUCAAAUCCUCUUCCAACUCUCGCUCUCUAAAAUCUCCGCCGAAGCUCUCCAUUCUUUGCUUCUCAAAAGUUCGCUUGACCACCAUGAAUACUUCUUCUCUCAUCUCAUCCUCUCCGCCGCUUCCACCUCCCUCCACCAUGCCCGGAAACUCUUUGACAACUCACCUAUUGUCCCACCCCCACUUUUUGCCUGGAACACCCUCAUCAAAGCAUAUUCUAAGACCUCCUCCGCGCAAAUACAUUCUGUAAAGCUCUUUCUUGAAUUACUUCGAACUUCUGAUGUCCUCAAACCUGACAAGUUUACGUAUCCUUUUGUUAUCAAGGCUUGCGGCCAUUGUUUGAUGCUCCGGGUUGGUGAAUCGGUGCACUCCAUGGUUUUCAAGGCGGGUUUUGCUUCGGAUUUACAUGUUAAUAAUACUCUCUUAACAAUGUAUGGUGGGUGUGGUGCGGUUGAGUUCUCCAGAAGACUGUUCGAUGAAAUGUGUGAGAGAGAUGUUGUCUCUUGGAGCUCUAUGAUUGCCGCUUAUGUUGAUUGUAAACUUGAUUUGGAUGCUUUGAGGCUGUUCAAAUAUAUGAACAUGGUAAAUGAGAAGCCCAACUUGGUAACUUUUGUUAGUUUACUUGCUGCGUGUAACAACCUCCUCAAUAUCAGAAUUGGAAAAUCCAUCCAUUCAUAUCUUCUCGUUAAUGGUACAGAAUUGCAUGUUAGCUUGGGUACAGCACUUCUGAAUAUGUAUGCAAAAUCAGGUCACUUGGAGGAAGCAUUACAAAUUUUCAAUACCAUCAACAAGAAAAAUCUGCAGUCUUGGACAGUCAUGAUUUCAUGUCUUGCAGACUAUGGUCGUGGAGAAGAAGCCAUAUCAUUAUUUACCAGAAUGGAAGAAGCUGGCUUGAGACCUGACAGCAUGUCAUUUUCAGUGGUACUUUCUGCUUGUAGCCACAGAGGUCUACUGGACAAGGGACAAGCACUCUUUGAUAAAAUGGUGAAUGUCUACAAUAUCAUACCAACUAUGCAGCACUAUGGAUGCAUGGUUGACUUAUUCGGACGAGCUGGAAAAAUUGAAGAAGCUUAUAAGAUAAUUCUGAGCAUGCCAUUUGAACCUAACUCUGUUAUAAUAAGGAGUUACCUCAGUGCUUGUAAACACCAUGGCCGUGCUCUUUCUUUGGACAAACAUUUAAUUCAACUUCUACUCAAAACAGAGCCCAAUGUUGGAGCAAACUAUUUACUUGCCACCGCUAUAUCUUCUACGUCUGGUUGUAAUGGCAUGGAUAACAUGAGAAAUGCCAUGAAACUAAGAGGUCUGAAGAAAGUUCCUGGCUCAAGUUGGGUCCACGCUCCUGGUGGUGAUCUGGAGGCAUUGGUGAAAACCGAAGAGAUUAUAAAAAUUUGAGGAUACAGAGACCUGCAAACAAGCAUAUUUUAAGGAACUUGGUUUCUGCAACAAGAAUUGGGAUUAAUGUUCAAGGACAUUUGUGUAACGAAGACUUGCAAAUAUUAUAUUCUCUUUAGUGGUCUAUAUCUUCCAUGAACUAUUAUUCCAGGGAACUGCGGUGAGAGAUCAUGAAAAUCAGAAACACCAGCAGAACAGCCACCCCAAGUGGAGAUCCUCCAACCCUGUGAAGUGCAUCCUUCUCCGGGAACGACAAGUAAAAUGGGACACGUUCUCGAUCUUCGCUUGAUAACCAGUGCACAAAGAGCAGCAGAACAACAGGAAACACCAUCAGACAUAUCUUGAAGUUGUCCAUCAAGUCCUCGAACAUGGACUCGUAGUUUAUGUACCAAGUGAAGAUCAAGAAGAGGAAGACUACUGCAAUGAGGAAGAAGAAGUGGAUCGGUAGUGAGAAGUACUGCAGAUAAUCAUAGUAAGAAGAGUUGUAGUAUCUAGCCAUGCUGAGAAAUACAGUUUUGAAUGAGGUCUUUAAGAGCAAAAGAUGAUCAAUAGUAGAGUGUAAAUUAUAUUUAUAUAUAUAUAUAUAUAUAUAUAUAUAUAUAUAUAUAUAUAGGAGCUUUAAUUUGUUGAAGUGGAAGAGAUGAAAGUAUUGGAUGUGCUCUGGAAACCACUAGUUUGCUUUAAAGGGAAAAGCUAAAGUUAAGGGCAAGUUAAGUGAGAUGUUGGGUAUGUUAUAUAGGUGCCAAUGGAGGUCAAUAAUUGCUUCUCUUUAUUGGGAAAUUCUGGUCCACCUGAUCUUUUUGAACUCAAAUCUAUUCAAAUAAUUUAUAUUUUAAAACAGAGCCCUUCACUGUGGCCAGCUUGAACUUUUUAGAGUUAAAUUAGUAGUAAAAGUUUUUAUUAUUUUUCUGCGUUUAUUUUGAAGAAAAGCAGUGCAAUUAGGUAGUGAUAUUACUUUUAAGGAUAUACAAAAUUGAGGGCUUUUUACAUGCAAG